GUGACUGCGUACCUUUUGUAUAAUGGGUCAGCGACUUAUAUUCUGUAGCAAGGUUAACCGAAUAGGGGAGCCGAAGGGAAACCGAGUCUUAACUGGGCGUUAAGUUGCAGGGUAUAGACCCGAAACCCGGUGAUCUAGCCAUGGGCAGGUUGAAGGUUGGGUAACACUAACUGGAGGACCGAACCGACUAAUGUUGAAAAAUUAGCGGAUGACUUGUGGCUGGGGGUGAAAGGCCAAUCAAACCGGGAGAUAGCUGGUUCUCCCCGAAAGCUAUUUAGGUAGCGCCUCGUGAAUUCAUCUCCGGGGGUAGAGCACUGUUUCGGCAAGGGGGUCAUCCCGACUUACCAACCCGAUGCAAACUGCGAAUACCGGAGAAUGUUAUCACGGGAGACACACGGCGGGUGCUAACGUCCGUCGUGAAGAGGGAAACAACCCAGACCGCCAGCUAAGGUCCCAAAGUCAUGGUUAAGUGGGAAACGAUGUGGGAAGGCCCAGACAGCCAGGAUGUUGGCUUAGAAGCAGCCAUCAUUUAAAGAAAGCGUAAUAGCUCACUGGUCGAGUCGGCCUGCGCGGAAGAUGUAACGGGGCUAAACCAUGCACCGAAGCUGCGGCAGCGACGCUUAUGCGUUGUUGGGUAGGGGAGCGUUCUGUAAGCCUGUGAAGGUGUGCUGUGAGGCAUGCUGGAGGUAUCAGAAGUGCGAAUGCUGACAUAAGUAACGAUAAAGCGGGUGAAAAGCCCGCUCGCCGGAAGACCAAGGGUUCCUGUCCAACGUUAAUCGGGGCAGGGUGAGUCGACCCCUAAGGCGAGGCCGAAAGGCGUAGUCGAUGGGAAACAGGUUAAUAUUCCUGUACUUGGUGUUACUGCGAAGGGGGGACGGAGAAGGCUAUGUUGGCCGGGCGACGGUUGUCCCGGUUUAAGCGUGUAGGCUGGUUUUCCAGGCAAAUCCGGAAAA
rnacentral:rRNA from 1 species